rnacentral:rRNA from 1 species
UACGUAGGGUGCGAGCGUUGUCCGGAAUUAUUGGGCGUAAAGGGCUCGUAGGCGGUUUGUCGCGUCGGGAGUGAAAACCUUGGGCUUAACUCAGGGCUUGCUUUCGAUACGGGCAGACUAGAGGUAUGCAGGGGAGAACGGAAUUCCUGGUGUAGCGGUGAAAUGCGCAGAUAUCAGGAGGAACACCGAUGGCGAAGGCAGGUCUCUGGGCCACUACUGACGCUGAGAAGCGAAAGCAUGGGGAGCGAACAGG